rnacentral:rRNA from 1 species
ACGCUGGCGGCGCACAUAAGACAUAGCAAGUCGAACGACUAACCUAUAGUUUACUAUUGGAGCGGUUAGUGGCGGACUGGUGAGUAACGCGUAAGCAAUCUGCCUAUCAGAGGGGAAUAACAGUGAGAAAUCACUGCUAAUACCGCAUAAGCUGUGAGUAUCGCAUGAUACAAGCAGAAAAGGAGCAAUCCGCUGAUAGAUGAGCUUGCGUCUGAUUAGUUAGUUGGUGAGGUAACGGCCCACCAAGACGAUGAUCAGUAGCCGGACUGAGAGGUUGAACGGCCACAUUGGGACUGAGAUACGGCCCAGACUCCUACGGGAGGCAGCAGUCGGGAAUAUUGCGCAAUGGAGGAAACUCUGACGCAGUGACGCCGCGUGCAGGAAGAAGGUUUUCGGAUUGUAAACUUUUGUCCUCAGGGACGAUAUGAAUGACGGUACCUGAGGAGGAAGCUCCGGCUAACUACGUGCC